rnacentral:tRNA from 1 species
GCUCUUGUGGUGUAGUCCGGUAAUCAUUCUGGCCUUUCAAGCCAGAGACUCGGGUUCGAAUCCCGGCGAGAGCA